rnacentral:rRNA from 1 species
GAGUUUGAUCCUGGCUCAGAUUGAACGCUGGCGGCAUGCCCUACACAUGCAAGUCGAACGGCAGCAUGAUCUAGCUUGCUAGAUUGAUGGCGAGUGGCGAACGGGUGAGUAAUACAUCGGAACGUGCCCUGUAGUGGGGGAUAACUAGUCGAAAGAUUAGCUAAUACCGCAUACGACCUGAGGGUGAAAGUGGGGGACCGCAAGGCCUCAUGCUAUAGGAGCGGCCGAUGUCUGAUUAGCUAGUUGGUGGGGUAAAGGCCCACCAAGGCGACGAUCAGUAGCUGGUCUGAGAGGACGAUCAGCCACACUGGGACUGAGACACGGCCCAGACUCCUACGGGAGGCAGCAGUGGGGAAUUUUGGACAAUGGGCGAAAGCCUGAUCCAGCAAUGCCGCGUGUGUGAAGAAGGCCU